AGGGAGCCCCGGAUCCAGGCCGUGUCCCCCAGUGCCCUGGGCUCCGGGGCCUGCUCUGCUGGAAUCGAGCUCCUGGGGCCGCGCAGCUCCCU
rnacentral:pre_miRNA from 1 species